GGCGGACGGGUGAGUAACGCGUAAGAACUUGCCCUUUAGACUGGGAUAACAGAGGGAAACUUCUGAUAAUACUGGAUAAGUUAGUAUAUCGCAUGAUAUGCAAAUGAAAGCUACGGCACUAAAGGAGAGCUUUGCGUCCUAUUAGCUAGUUGGUAAGGUAAGAGCCUACCAAGGCGAUGAUAGGUAGCCGGCCUGAGAGGGUGGACGGCCACAAGGGGACUGAGAUACGGCCCUUACUCCUACGGGAGGCAGCAGCC
rnacentral:rRNA from 1 species